rnacentral:sRNA from 1 species
AACAAUGUAGACAAUCUUUUUCAAUCAUCACUGGCUCU